rnacentral:rRNA from 1 species
UACGGAGGGGGCUAGCGUUGUUCGGAAUUACUGGGCGUAAAGCGCACGUAGGCGGCUUUGUAAGUUAGAGGUGAAAGCCCGGGGCUCAACCCCGGAAUUGCCUUUAAGACUGCAUCGCUAGAAUUGUGGAGAGGUAAGUGGAAAUUCCGAGUGUAGAGGUGAAAUUCGUAGAUAUUCGGAAGAACACCAGUGGCGAAGGCGACUUACUGGACACAUAUUGACGCUGAGGAGCGAAAGCGUGGGGAGCGAACAGGA